rnacentral:lncRNA from 1 species
UGCUUCCAAAACCCUUGCACAGAGAGAGUCGUUUGCAGGCCAGGCACAGGAACCAUAGUCUUCUCAUGCCAGCCCACCUGUAAAUAAAAGAAAGUUUUAUAGAAUCACAGACCCUGAGACUGGAAAGAGUUGUAGUGGUGGUAUCAUUUUGGGAAGGCUGGUGUCUACUGUGCAUUACAGACAUCAUUAAUCAAUUGCGGAACAUGCCACUGCUAACAUGGCAGGGGUUCUGCUGGUUCUGGUAGUUUUUCAUCAUCUGGAAGAAACAACAGUGGUCAAGAUGUUGAUGACAAUGAAGAAACCAAAGGAGACUCUAGAAUAAGAAGAACACACAUGUCGUCAUGUAAGACAUAAUGGCUUCCCCCAAUGGACUUGGAAUUUUUUAGCUAUUAGAAAGACUGUUGGUCUCUGGUUUGACUCCAGUGGCUUCACUUCUGAUAGCCAAACCACUGAAACCUGGGUUUCAAACACUGGAUCAGGUUACCAGUGGAUAAUGCUUUCAGGAGAACACCAUCACUUCCCAGUUUUUCUGGAGUCAGUGUCUGUGUUUCUCUGAGAUAUGAGUCCCUGAUGCCUUGUGCAGAUCCUCCACAUUCCCGGCUUACAGGAGAGGGAAGUGUUACUCUGGCUAGCAUGGGAUCUUUGGGAUCACUUAAUCUGAGGCCAGCCUUGCUGGUUCA